UUUCAGAAAAAGCAGCCUGGGAGUAACACUGGAGAUAGAAGGGAGUCACAAACUGCUGACAAUACUCAGGAAAAAAAUCAUACAAGCAAGAAAAAAGGAAAGGGGUUUGGAACUAAUGGCCGUGAUCCACUAAAGGAAAGAACAAACCGUUUCUGUAAGGAGAAAGUAGAAGAAGGAUAAUCAAAAAGUCAUCUGCAGCAGCGUGCUGAAGGGCAAAGCCACACUUUUAAUUUCCGCUACAAAUAUGAGAAACAUGCAGUGGCGUGUGAUACAUCCAAGACUGUGCUCGAUGCUCUUAAUACAAACAAGAUUUUCAGAAAGAUUAAAAAAGACAACAAGGAGAAAGAAAUAGUGAUCCAGAGAUCCAAAGGAGCAGUUCCUAGAGCGGCUGUCAAGACCGAUUUCCCCUGCUGUCUUAUUGAAAGACAUGAGC